UUGGAAAGGCAGGCUAUCGCUGCCUUUUUCUCUUAGAGAAAAAGGGAGAGGAAAGUCCGGACUUCACAGGAAAGGAUACCAGGUAAUCACUGGGGGCCGCAAGGCUACGGAAAGUGUAACAGAAAACACAUCGCUUGCAGAGCAAUUUGCAGGACAGACUGAAAAAGCUGACAUCAAGUGUCAGCCGCGCUCGAGGAGACUCGGGGCGUUAUAAACCCUAUCCGAAGCAAGGCCGAAUGUGGGUGCGUGUCCGCGCGAGACCCUAAGCUGGCUGCUUGAGGAACUCGGCAACGCGUUCCCUAGAUGAAUGAUGGCCGUUCGCUUUGCAGCGAAUCACAGAAUCCGGCUUAACGCCUUUCCAAUAUU
rnacentral:RNase_P_RNA from 1 species